UUCUGGGCCUCACCCGGCAGCCUGAAGCUCCACAGGAACUGCCUAGGGGGGACAGGAUCAUGGUCAGUGAAGCAGAAAGCACCUGUCCCUGAAGACAGGGGUUUGGCCAUCUUGUCUUAUAUGGACAGCAUUUGGAAGAGAGCUCAGAGCACACCAGGCACAAACAACAUGCAUGCGUGCAUGUAUGAAUGAAUGCAUGCAUGAAUGAGUGAAUGCAUGCAUGCAUGCAUGAGUGAAUGAAUGAAUAUUCCAGAGCCUGGGAACCAGUGCUCACCCCAAGUCCUAAGCAUGAUGGCUUCCCAAGCACUGUUCAUCCUGAGUGGUAUGUUCACCCCUACGCCCUCACUUCCUGCUCCCUGUCUGGGGAUCCUCUUACUUUUCCCCCAAGUAGGUGCCAAUGGCUGUCUUGUUGAGACCGUCACCCUUGUACAGGAACUGGGCGAUGUCCUGGACAUCAGAGGUCAGCAGCUUGUGCUCAAUGAGAUACUGGAUGCCCUAGAGAUGACACAGCAUUCAUGAGCAACCCCCCCUAGCAUAGGCACCUGGUGGAGGAGGGGAUAAGGAGGGGGACCUGGUGUUUGGGUUCCCUACAUGGUGUUCUCGAGCCGCCUUUGGGAGGUGGUAAGCUCCCCAUCUCUGGAGGCAUGCUCAGGGAGCUAAGUGAAGCAGUGCUUCCCGGGGUCCCUCCAGCCUGGCACACUUAGACUGCAGCCUCCCGUGGUUGCUGAAAGUCACAGUUCUAAGCCUCAGUGAGUCAGCCUCUCAUUUUAUUAGCGCCCCACUCUUAUUAUUCUAAAUAGUUUCAUUUCACCGCAGUAGCAAUCUACGUUCAUUGUGUAAAAGUCACACAGACCAGCUGAAACAAAAAGGGAGGUGACUGCAUGAACCCCACCUGGGAGGUAGCCAGCUUCCAUGGCAAUGACUUUCACUGCUCUUCUCUAGUGGGUGGGAGGGUGUACCCCACCUUCUGGCACUUUGACGCCAGCUUCGCUGGGCACCCUGUGGCCAGAGCUGGCGACGUAUGUGCUUGUUUGUAAGAGGACAGGUAAGUGGAGCAGUGUGGUCUAGGGCUCGGGCCUGUGAAAGGCGAAUACACAGCCGAAGCAGUCUCAGCCAGGGCUUGGCAUUCUCUGUGGCUGCUUGGACUCUUGCCCUAGUGUGGUGUGUGGCUUCCUCCUGUGGCUGUCCCUGGUGGAGAGGAAACCCAUGGCCACCUGGCAGAAGGAAGGGCUGCUGGCUGGCUCCGAAGCCAUGGGCAAUGAAGCCCAUUCCAAAGUAGGGCAUGGAGCCAGAGAAGCAAGGGGAUUGGUCCCAGGCAGGGACUUCACAGCCUUCCAGUCUUUGGGCUGUGGUGUUAGGGAAUGAACAGAGGCCAGGGAACCAAAGGCUUGUCCCUGUUGGGUGGUUUGCAGGGUCAGCCACAAAGGUGCCCAGAAGACAGCUCCUCUGGGCACCUUGGUGAGACCCAUGUCCUCCUCCUGUGGUCACCAAGAUGCACACUUUGGUGGGGGUCUAUGUCCCCUCCCCUGGAUUUGUACCUUAUUAGGGUCCAUGUUGAAUUUCUUUCUCCCGAUGCACAUCUCCUUCUCUUUCUGCGCCAUCCGGCUGUGAACAGAGGCACAUCAACACGGUGGCUCUGGAUGCCACCAUCCCCCAUAAGCCCCGAGGGGGCCUUCCUCAGGAGAGCCAGCAUGCCCUUGGAACUCCAUGUGUAGCCCCGCCCCUGGACCACAUGAGAGAGCAAGAACAGGCUGAGAGGUGUCAAGGGGCAGGGUCUCAGUUUCCUUCUCUGCAAGAACCACCUGCUGCCCUCAUGCAGGGCAUGUGUGUGUGUGUGUGUGUGUGUGUGUGUGUGUGUGUGUUCAUGUGUAUUCAUGAAUGUGCAUGUACACGAGUCGCUUGAGAAGCAGGGACUUUGGAGGCUGGGUGGGCUCCCGGCAAACCAGGUGUAGUUCAAUAGUUCAGUGCCCUAGGGUCCUAGCAGGCAUGUCCAGCCUGCUGGCUACAAGUGGCUGCAUCUGCCCAGGAGAGCUAUGAAUGCCAACCAAAUACAUAACUUACUUAGAAUGUUAAAAGAUUUAUUCUUUUUUUUUCAAUUUGUAGCUCAAAUGUCAUUUGUGGUUUUACAAGGACAAUGUCAAGAGGGUUGGGUCUAGGAGAUUGUGUGGGAACCCAACCUUCUCCUUACACAAAUGGGGAUACUGAGGCUCAGAAAGACGGCCCAACCUGAGAGCAAAGAGCCAGCAGGAACUUUCUUGUGUGAGGAAUGAUGUGGGCCUGCAGACCUACUCCAGGCCCAGAUACCAGAGCUCUCUCACCCUUGUCCAGGGUCAGGGUCAGGGUCAGGGUUUUUUGCCCAUCCACUUCUAGCAGCCUCUGACCGGUAAUGUGCAGGCAGUGCUGUGGGGGGAGAGGUGAGAGCUUGGGGUUGUUUGAGAAUCAAUGGGGAGUGGUCCAGACAGUGCGUAUGGGGCUGUAGGCAUCUCCUUGGGUCCCACCACCAUCCAUGGCACACAGGGAGUGCCCAGGAAUCGUCUUCCCACGGGCCAGGUCCCUCACCUCUCCUCGGUGCUUUCAAAGCAGUCGAUUUGGGCAAACACAUCUGCAAUCUCAUCCUUCAGUUUCUGUGGACACACAUACAAGGGUCAGCCUGGAGGCCCCACUCUGCUUAAGGGGUCCUCCCUCAGCCUUCUUGGCCCCACCCCCUUUCUGGGCCUUUUUAUCUUCAAAGUGGGAUCUCAGUACCUCUGUUUGGCUCUUGUGCAUGUACCAGCCCUCGUCUCAGGGGUGGGAGUCCCUGUGCACACACCCAACCCUAGUUCCAGCUUGCUUUUUCUGCCCACGUGAUCAGGAAGUCUCCUGCACGCUGUCCCCACCAACAGGCCCUCACUCCACCUGGCUGGCAGCUUCUCAUAGCAGCACGGCACUGCUAUUCCCUGGUCAGAAUUCCUCUGUGGCUCUCCGUGGCCACCCAGGGCAACGGACCCCACUUUUUGUCCAGCAACACAUCUUUCCAGUCACUUGUCAGUAAGCGCCUGUCUGUCAUAUGUGGAGUGCUAUGGGUGCCCCCGUGCAUGGGCAGCACAGGCCUCUCAGGAGCUGUGCAGUUCAUUGGAACAGCCACGGCCGAUGGGGCAUUCACAGGCCUGCAGAGCAGAUUCUAGGUCUCUGCUGCUCCCAAUUCCAUCCAGGGCUUGCCCAGUACAGAGGAGGGCCCCUCACCCAGCUUGCCCACCAACCACAUUUGCUGGACUGCUCAGAGAGUAGCUCUGUCCUGGUACCUCCCUGCAGGUAGUAGGUGAACAGGGCAAAUGGGCCAAGAGGCAAGCACCCUCUCCCUACAAGAUGAGGGGUACUGAGAUGUGGUACUCCUAGGGAUCAGAACUGGCAUGGGACCCCUUGCUCUGAGGGCUGACAGAUCCUAUCCCCAGGGAUCUUGGCUUAGCUUCCACCCACAGGCAUAACAGGGACACCCUCACUAGUGUUAACUGAGGACCUAAGUGCUAUAGUUAUGGGGCCAGGGGUCAGGGAUGAACAAGGCCCGGGUUCUGUUUUCAUAGAGCUAGAGUUUGGAGAUGUUGGGGCCAUGGGUGCAUGUCAAGGGGGUGAGGGGGCAAAGGAGAGAUCUAAGCAGAAAGUAACCACAGGGAUGGCUGAGGAGGAGCCUGACACGUGUAUGUAUGUACUCAAUAGGAUGCUAGCCGUGCUGGUGGUCCCGUGUGGAAUCAAGUGUGCAUGUGUGUCUAAGUUUCAGGCAGCCUGGAGGAGGAGGAGGUAGGGCCUUGUUCAGAAAGACGAAGGUGUGGGAGUGUGAGGAGAGCUGAGAGGAACCCCAAGUGGAGGCAAAGAAGUGUGCAGAGGCCCAGAGACUGGACUGAGCAAGGUGAGGAUGGAUGGACCUCAAGAAUGGUGUCCUGUUUCUGGAGGCCACUAAUAAUCACGGGAGUGAUCAUUUAAGAAACCGGUGAGCUCCCCAGAGCUGAGCCCAGGGUGGGUGUGAUCUUAUCCAAAGGAUGGGUGUGACCUUGUCCAAAGGACACAAGAGGGAGGAGUCACAAGCUUGCAACCUGGUCUGCUCUGGGCCUGGCCGCUGAGCCGGUGUGGGCAAUCCCUGGCAGGUUCAACCUACUUUCUAUUUUUGAGGUGGGAUUAAGACUGGAGCUCUGGGACCUAGGAUUGAGCUGAGAGGAGCCAGGGAUCUAGGACUCAGGGUGGGGGAGCUGAUGCUUGGAUCUUGAGGGGAGGGGGUGGUGUCUGGGGCUUUGGGGAGGAGAAGACAAAGUCUGACUGGCUUUCUGAACAUUUGGUCAGGAGAGUGGGAGAUUGUGUUGAGGGCUGGCUUGUGGGCAUAUGUAGUUUAGCCAUUAGUAUGAGUGUGUGUGGGUCUCAGUGUGAGAAUGUGUGGGUCAGAAUGGGACCAGGUAUGAGUGUGUUGAGUGUGAGUGUCUGUGGGUCUAUGAGUGUGAGCAUAUGUAUGAACACACCUGGAUGUCUUCCAGUAGCUGCUUCCUGUGCCAUUUGAUCUGCUGUAGCUCCUUGGCCUCCCCACUGCUGAGCUCAGCUGGAUCUGGAGAGAGAGAGAGAGAGAGAGAGAGAGAGAGAGAGAGAGAGAGAGAGAGAGAGAAGAGGAUUGCUUGGUUCUGCAUCUCAGAGCCCCUCCUAGGGAGACCCCUGAAAUAAAGUGAGACCCAUGAUGCUGGUGACCCUUGCUGGUACCACUGGAGCCUGACUGGAUGCCACCACCGCUGAGAGGCAUCCUUGGACGUCCCUCUCUAGAGUGGCCCCACUUCUUCAUCAUAAUUCCUUUUACUCCCUGGAGAGAGAUUUCCUGUGGCCAUUGUGGGGUCACCUGGCCAUACCUAGCUGCAAGGGAAGCUGGCAAAUGAGCUUCACUAGGGUGAUCCCUAUGUUGUAAGAAGGGAAAACAGAGCCUUUCCAACUUGGGCCUGGCAGAAUGGCUCCCACAAAGAAGGGUGGCAAGAAGAAGAAGGGCCACUCUGUCAUCAGUGAGGUGGGGACUUGAGAAUAUACAUUCACAAACGCAUCCAUGGAGUGGGCUUCAAGAAGUGUGUCCCUAGGGCACUCGAGGAAAUCUGGAAAUUUGCCGUAAGGGAGAUGGGGAGUCCAGAUGUGUGCAUUGAUCAGGCUUGAUAAUGCUGUCUGGGCCAAAGGAAUAAGGAAUGUUUCAUAUCAUAUCUGAGUACGUUUGUCCAGAAAACGUAAUGAGAAUGAGGAUUCACCAAACAAGCUCUACGCAUUGGUAACUUACACGCCUGUAACUACAUUAAAAAAUCUAUAGACCACCAAUGUAGAUGAGAACACUAAACCUGCUGAAUGUCAAAUACAGUGGCAGAACUGCCAACAAAAAAAGAAAGAAGAGAAAACAGAAUUUGGGGGCAGGGUUGGCACAACAUCAGUCUAUGCUCUAAGACACUAUAACUCAGAUGUGAGAAGUAAACUGGGACCUUGGAUUGGACUGGCUCCCAAUCCCAUGCUGUCCCAUUAUCCUCCAAAACAAAGAGAGACCCACAAUGCUGGAGCCACACCAGGACACUGCACACUCGUCCCACCUACCAUACUCCAGUCAGGACCUCCACGGAGCCAGGCACAGCAGCUCAUCAUACUUGUAAUCCUAACAUUUGGGAGGUUGAGGCAGGAGGAUUACAAGUUUGAUGCCAGCCUAGGCUAUAGGGUGAGAUGCAGUCUCAUCAACAACAACCAAAAGCCAAACAAUCAAAAGCAAACUACAGCCAACAACGUGGGCAGCUAAGGAUCUCCAAGCCAUCCCAGAAAGACCACGGUGGAGACCUUGGUCAGGGCACUUGAUUCACCACUUCCUGUGGUUCAGGAAGAGAGGGUGUCCUUGAGUUCCUGCUAGCAGUGACUAACUGAGACAAAGGCCAAAUGAAAGGACAGUGGAAAGGUUGGGGAGCAGGGAACGCAGGUUGCGAGGAGACAUGGGUGGUUCUAUGGAGGAUGGCAAGCAGAGAUUUGCAGGGGUUAUCAGCAGGCAGGCACCCAGGAGGGGCAUGAAGACACGACCAGUGACCAGCUCAGCUGACUCACCAGCCUCCUACGGGGCCAUCUUGGCCCUGGAACAGCAAAGGAAGUAGCCAUAUGGCAUGAGAAGAAGCUGGAGUCCUUCCUAGGUCCCCUGACGACCACCCAUCAAUGUCCAACCAGCCGGAUGCAGAUACAGGCACUGGGCCACUGUUUCCCUUGGACUGGAACCUUUGCUCUCAAAAAGACCGGCCAGUUCUUUACUUUUAUUUUUGUGUUGCUAAGGAUAGAACCAGAGGCUUUGAACAGGCCUGACAGAUUCCCGACCACUGCGCCCCAUCCUGUCCCAGCUAUUCAUGUUGGCUGGAGUCCGCACAGGUUCAGAUAGAUACCGCUCCUCUACUCAAGGGCUUUCAAUGCCAUGGGACCAUAGGAAGCCCAGAUCCCCUUCUUAGCAAAGGUUGUGUGCAAUGGGACCUGAAUGUCCCCACCCUUUGUCAUCAUCAAGGCCUGCUAGAGAAUGGAGCAGCCUUGUGUGGAUGCAGAGAAGGUUCCCUGCUUGGAUCACCCCUCCAGGAUGCACCAUGCCCCUUCCCAUUGCACAUGCAGCUGGGUGCGGGGCUCCUUAAGUGGAAGUGCAGGCCUGUCACCUCAGUGGGAUUUUCUUUUUGUCCCUGCAGGGGUAGAGAUCCUCUUCCAAGGGGGCAGAGAGGAGUGUGAUGCAGGUCUCAUGGAAGUCCAAACUCUUGGAUACCCAAGGGACCCCGGUCAUUUAGUCUCCAUGAUUCUUUACAGGGGUAGUUCUCAGUUUAAGACUCGGGGACUCAGGGGGUGAGGUGACAUAUCCCAGGUCACACAACUGGAAAGGAACAGUAUGGGAUUUCAGUAUGGUUACUGAUACAGGCUUUGCCCAGGCAAGCCAGGUGUGAGUAUGUAUGUGCGCAUACAUGCAUGCAUGUGUGUACGCAUGCUUGUGUGUGUGUGUACAUGUGUGUGCAUGCAUGUAUCUGUGUUUGGAGAGUGAAUGAGCAUGUAUGUCCACCCCUGUAGAGGUCAGAGGCUGACACCACGUGUCUUCUUCUCUUUGAGACAGGUUUUAUCCCUGGCUGUCCUGGAACUCAGUCUGUAGACCAGGCUGGCCUCAAACCCUACCUGCCUCUGCCUCCUGAGUGCCGGAACUAAAGGCAUGCACUGUCACUGACAGCAUCUCUCGUGAAACCUAGACUGACUGGCUACCAAGCUGCACCUGGACCUCAGUCAUCUCUGGGAAUUCCCCUCUACCCAGCCUCUUCUGAGCUCUAGGAAUGCACCCCAAUCCCAGGCACCUGACAGCACCUCCCUCUAGCCUCUGGGCACCGCCAUCGCCAGGUUCAUGGCGGAGCCAGAAGCAGCUUGGGAGAGCCUUUGCCACCAUCCCCUUCCAUAAACAUCACAAAGGAGCCCGUGCCUCCUGCAGAAGAGACCCAGCCCUGGCACCUGCAGGGCAGAUGCCCACAUUCUCAGAGGCAGGCCAGGAAGACAAAGGACCAGCCGUUCACAGACAAUGAAUCUGAGGAGAGCCCCGGCCUCCAUGGGCUUCUGUGGGACCUGGGUAACAGAAAGAUUCCCCCUUCCCUGAUGCCUCCCCCAGGAAGUCCCCAGUCCCCUUUCUCAUUCUUCUCAUUUGUGGGUAUGGCCAGGCGGGGAUCAGAGUCCUCUGUCCCUCCACUCAGCACCCUGGAAUGUCAACCAGCUCCCCUUUGGCCAUUUUGAAGCAUGCCACGGGGCCGUUUGUAAAAUGGAUGAAUAAAUAAUGAACAAACAGAAUGAUGGAGCAGUCCGUGGAGACCCUUUGCCUGGUCUCCCUUUGCCUUCUUGUUGGCCUUGAACCUCAGCCUAGUCCCUGUGUCUUUGUGGAACUUAACUCAACCGCCCCCCCCCCCCCCCACACACACAACACCCAAAGAGACAAGGGAGAGGUUAUAUUAAGGAGAUCUUUGGUGGCCAGAG